rnacentral:misc_RNA from 1 species
GAACAUGAACAAUGUGGCUGGUGUCAUUAGUGUUAACAGCAGCAAGAAGAGCCUCCAACUUCUCUGCUUUACCAUCUUCUUCUUCACCGAAAUCAACAAUAUCAAGUGCUACAUUGCUCUUUUUCAACUUCCUUCCAAUCAUCUCCAAUGUCUUCUUAUCAUGUUUGAUAGGGCUUCCAGCAAAGACAAUAAUCCUUUGUUG